rnacentral:lncRNA from 1 species
UGAUUGACAAUAUGUUUAAAUUCCAUUGUUUUUGCUUAAAUUUACCUUGUUUUGUUUAAAUUUGCAAAGUAGUACAAAAUGUGUUGUGGGUUUGGGUGUAAAAAACCCGAACCCAAUGGGUGUGGGCGUGGGUGUGGUUUUGCCACCCGAACAGAUUUGGGUUUGGGUUUGGGUUUGGGUGUUGAUUUCGGGUGUGGGUUUGGUAUCACUCAAACCCGCACCCGUGGGCGCCCAUUGCCAUCCCUAG